UCAGUGUCCAACUGUGAUUAGAAGCCU
rnacentral:piRNA from 1 species